AUACGUAGGGGGCGAGCGUUAUCCGGAUUUACUGGGCGUAAAGGGCGUGUAGGCGGUCUUGCAAGUCAGAAGUGAAAUUCCUGAGCUCAACUCGGGCGCUGCUUCUGAAACUGCAGGACUUGAGUGCUGGAGGGGAUAGCGGAAUUCCUAGUGGAGCGGUAAAAUGCGCAGAUAUUAGGAAGAACACCGGUGGCGAAGGCGGCUAUCUGGACAGUAACUGACGCUGAGGCGCGAAAGCGUGGGGAGCAAACAGGAUUAGAUACCCCGGUAGUCCUGGCCGUAAACGAUGGGUACUAGGUGUGGGAGGUAUCGACUCCUUCCGUGCCGGAGUUAACGCAAUAAGUACCCCGCCUGGGGAGUACGGCCGCAAGGCUUAAACUCAAAUGAAUUGACGGGG
rnacentral:rRNA from 1 species